rnacentral:rRNA from 1 species
GCGAAAGCAAGUUAGGGCGUCUGGUGGAUGCCUUGGCUCUCGGAGGCGAUGAAGGACGUGAUAAGCUGCGAUAAGCUUGGGUUAGGCGCAAAUGGCCUUUGACCCCAAGAUUUCCGAAUGGGACAACCCAGCAGUCUGAAGGACUGCUAUCUGCACUGUUGUGCAGAGGCGAACCAAGGGAACUGAAACAUCUUAGUACCUUGAGGAAGAGAAAAUAAACAAUGAUUCCCCCAGUAGUGGCGAGCGAACGGGGAAGAGCCCAAACCUCUUGUGUAGCGAUGCACAAGGGGGGUUGUAGGACCACGUCAUAGUAUGCAGAGUGCGAACAGAACCAUCUGGAAAGUUGGACCGUAGAGGGUGAUAGUCCUGUACGUGAAGCGCGAUGCGGCUUAGUGGUAUCCUGAGUAACGCGGAUCACGAGGAAUUCUGCGCGAAUCCGCCGGGACCAUCCGGCAAGGCUAAAUACUCCCGGGAGACCGAUAGCGAACGAGUACCGUGAGGGAAAGGUGAAAAGCACCCCUAUUAGGGGAGUGAAAUAGUACCUGAAACCAGUCGCCUACAAGCGGUCGGAGCAUAUUUUAUAUGUGACGGCGUGCCUUUUGCAUAAUGAACCUACGAGUCACCAUGUCAGGCGAGGUUAAGUGGCUAUGCCACGCAACCGCAGUGAAAGCGAGGCUGAACAGGCCGUCUAGUCUGAUGGGGUGGACGCGAAACCGAGUGAUCUACGCAUGUCCAGGGUGAAGUGGCGGUAAAGCGUCAUGGAGGCCCGCACCAAUAAGCGUUGAAAAGCUUCUGGAUGAGGUGUGCGUAGGAGUGAAAGGCCAAUCAAACUCGGAGAUAGCUCGUACUCCCCGAAAGGCAUUUAGGUGCCGCGUGGCGUGAUCAGCAUGAGAGGUAGAGCGACCGAUUGGUCAAGAGGGCUUCGCCGCCUAUCGAGACCAGACGAACUCCGAAUGCUCAUGCUCCGCAGCCGUGCAGUAAGGGUGCGGGUGCUAAGGUCCGUGCCCGAGAGGAGAAGAAUCCAGACCGCCGUCUAAGGUCCCGGAAUCCUGUCUGAGUUAGUCUAACGAAGUCUG